GUGUUCACCAACGAAGAUGAGAUUUAUCAAGAUUUGUCAAGCAAAUCUUCAAUGGCGACUUGUUGAACGUCAUCCUUUCAUACUAACCAUAAACACCACAUGUUUUUGAGCUUCAGAAUGGUUCUUGACAAGCAUGCGUCUUUAUUCAAAGUGUAGUGGCUGAGAAUCAGGAAAGAAAGGCACAUCCUGUCGAAGGAGCUAUGUAUGGGUUGUCUGAACUGUCUUCUCAGUUCCCACAACUCAAUCCUUUUGAGCUGAAAUGGAUGGUGAGCCAAGGGUGAAAUACUUGAAGAAGACACCUUUUCAGUUGUAUGUUCUUGAAGAAACUUUUGCUGUGAAUAAAUAUCUAUCGGACCAGGAUCGAGCAUACUUUGGAUGAGUGAUGACCAUGAUUCAAUUCUGAGCUUCAGGUUCUUGACAAGCAGGUCGUCUUUAUUCAAAUUGUAGUCGCUGAGAAUCAGGAAAGAAAAGCACAUCCUGUUGAAGGAGCUAUGCAUGGGUUGUCCGAACUGUAUUCGCAACAUGCUGCACUACAGACAAAUGUUAUUCGAUUGCAAGGGAUGAUUGAGGCGGUCAACAAUGAGAAUCAACUUUUAGAAAUGGAUCUUGGUUUUUUGGAGCAAAAUAUCGCCGAUCAAAAUGGCCACAAUUAACAACUUACAGCAGCAAGCUGCCUCUGAGGGCUCGGCAGUUUAAGGAAAAUGGUAUAUUAUUUGCCUCUGAAUUAGGGUUCAUGUGGGUUUUAGGGUUUCAUACUUUCAUUAAUGUAAUGCUUAGCUGGGUAUCUUGGGUAGAAUUUUAAAACUUGAUCUGCAAAGUCAUUGAACAGAGUUUUUGUGCAUAUAUUUAAAAAAAAAAAAAAACUUGUUAACUUUGUGUAAAUUAACUAUGUUACCCUUUAACUUGUUUGUUUUGA